rnacentral:rRNA from 1 species
CAGUAGCCGCGGUAAUACAGAGGGUGCGAGCGUUAAUCGGAUUUACUGGGCGUAAAGCGUGCGUAGGCGGCUUUUUAAGUCGGAUGUGAAAUCCCUGAGCUUAACUUAGGAAUUGCAUUCGAUACUGGGAAGCUAGAGUAUGGGAGAGGAUGGUGGAAUUCCCGGUGUAGCGGUGAAAUGCGUAGAGAUCGGGAGGAACAUCAGUGGCGAAGGCGGCCAUCUGGGACAACACUGACGCUGAGGCACGAAAGCGUGGGGAGCAAACAGGAUUAGAUACCCCAGUAGUCCCUGUCUCUUAUAC